UAGGAAUCUACCUAGUAGUAUGGGAUAGCCACUAGAAAUGGUGGGUAAUACUGUAUAAUCCCUGCGGGGGAAAGAUUUAUCGCUAUUAGAUGAGCCUAUGUCAGAUUAGCUAGUUGGUGGGGUAAUGGCCUACCAAGGCGGUGAUCUGUAGCUGGUCUGAGAGGAUGAUCAGCCACACUGGAACUGAGACACGGUCCAGACUCCUACGGGAGGCAGCAGUGGGGAAUAUUGGACAAUGGGCGCAAGCCUGAUCCAGCUAUGCCGCGUGAGUGAGGAAGGCCUUAGGGUUGUAAAACUCUUUCAGUAGGGAAGAUAAUGACGGUACCUACAGAAGAAGUCCCGGCAAACUCCGUGCCAGCAGCCGCGGUAAUACGGAGGGGGCAAGCGUUGUUCGGAAUUAUUGGGCGUAAAGGGCAUGUAGGCGGUUUGGUAAGUUAAAGGUGAAAUACCAGGGCUUAACCCUGGGGCUGCUUUUAAUACUGC
rnacentral:rRNA from 1 species